rnacentral:rRNA from 1 species
GACGAACGCUGGCGGCGUGCUUAACACAUGCAAGUCGAACGAUGAAGCCGGAGCUUGCUCUGGUGAAUUAGUGGCGAACGGGUGAGUAACACGUGAGUAACCUGCCCUUGACUCUGGGAUAACUGCUAGAAAUGGUAGCUAAUACCGGAUACGACCAUCGGAGGCAUCUCCAGGGGGUGGAAAGAAUUUCGGUGAAGGAUGGACUCGCGGCCUAUCAGCUAGUUGGUGAGGGAACGGCUCACCAAGGCGACGACGGGUAGCCGGCCUGAGAGGGUGACCGGCCACACUGGGACUGAGACACGGCCCAGACUCCUACGGGAGGCAGCAGUGGGGAAUAUUGCACAAUGGGCGCAAGCCUGAUGCAGCAACGCCGCGUGAGGGAUGACGGCCUUCGGGUUGUAAACCUCUUUUAGUAGGGAAGAAGCGAAAAUGACGGUACCUGAAGAAUAAGCACCGGCUAACUACGUGCCAGCAGCCGCCGUAA